AUUAUCUUUACAUGGUCUUUGUGAUUGAGGCAUUCGACAACCUAUUAUCAGCUCGCCACUUGAUGGAGCAGAUUCCAAUUGUAAGCUCACCAGUCUUUUAUCUGUUAUGAUUGAGUAUAGGAAUUGGAAAUUGGGUGACUAGGAGAUCCAUGCAGCAAAAUGCAUGUUCGGUUUGCACAUCCACGUUAAGCAUCUUAUUGAAAUUUGAAACUACCAUUAUUCUGUUUUUUCGUGCUUUUAUGUACCAUAUGCCCUGAUUGAGAUCAUAAGGAAUAAAGAUCCAAUUCCUAUACUCAAUCAUAACAGAU
rnacentral:misc_RNA from 1 species